rnacentral:rRNA from 1 species
AUUGAACGCUGGCGGCAGGCUUAACACAUGCAAGUCGAGCGAGCGGCGGACGGGUGAGUAAUGUCUGGGAAACUGCCUGAGGGAGGGGGAUCACUACUGGAAACGGUAGCUAAUACCGCAUACCAUCAGAUGUGCCCAGAUGGGUUUAGCUAGUGGGGGGGGUAAGGGCUCACCUAGGCGACGAUCCCUAGCUGGUCUGAGAGGAUGACCAGUCAAACUGGAACUGAGACACGGUCCAGACUCCUACGUGAGGCAGCAGUGGGGAAUAUUGCACAAUGGGCGCAAGCCUGAUACAGCCAUGCCGCGUGUGUGAAGAAGGCCUUCGGGUUGUAAAGCACUUUCAGCGAGGAGGCGUUACUCGCAGAAGAAGCACCGGCUAACUCCGUGCCAGCAGCCGCGGUAAUAC